rnacentral:lncRNA from 1 species
CCUAGACUGAUAGAAAAGCAAAAAAUGAAAACAUCGCAUAGGAAAAACGGCAACCACUGCCAAGGCCAACCAUUGCUAAGAUAUUCUUCUUGUUUGUUCUCAUAAUGGAAAGAGAAAGAAACACACACACAAAACAAAAACAAAAGCAGCACAUACACCAAAAACAAAAAGAAAAGAAUGGCCACCCCAUCCUCUCAAAAAGCUCAUAGGAAUUUACUACCCUUUUUUCCAUUUUCAAGUCAAAAAAAUAUCAAAAAUCUACACAAGCAAAUUGCCGUUCAUUUUGAUUUUGAAUUUCGAGUUUGGCUUCAAAAAGAAAUGGAAUUCAAUUGAGGUUGAGGUCGACUCGAGUUCAUCCGUAUGAAGCUCACUCGUGGUUCCUUCCGAAUUUCUGUCAUAUUUUAGUUUCGGCUAUAGCGUUUGGUUCAUUUGCUCGUGUAAUUGCUGAGAAUUUCAGUCAAUCAAAGUCUAAUUUUCAGGUCCAUCCCUUUUCCUUUUUUACUGUUCUUGUGAAUUUCAUGAUUGAAAUAUAAUAUGAGCCUACAGUGUAAUUUUUAUACUGUCUGUGAUUAAGUUCGAGCAUAGAGCUUGGUUUUGAUUCACUAAUUUUAGUGCUUUUAGCUGGUCUAUAUGUUUAAUGAGUUAUAUGUUUCUCCUUUAUUUUCAAUUAUACUUUGAAGUAUUAAAAUAUUUUGGAGCUAUUAUGAUGUGCUAGGAAAUCUGCAUCUUAAGUAUUUAAAGUUUCAGCAUUGCUUUGACUAAUUUCUUUUAAAUAUUAAUACUAACUUUCCAUGUAUGAAAGAUUAAUGUUGAAAGGUUGAGUUGGCUAAAGUGCUUGAACCACUGUUUUGGAAUGCAAAUCCAUUUAGAUUCAAAAGAGAAGAUUUCUUCUAAGUGAUUAUUACUCUUGAGUCUAGGGACAUAUUUUCUUGGAUAUUAAGUUCAGAUCAUUUUCUUAAGCGUUGGCCAUUCCCAUAGUAUCGAAUUAGGCUACUUUUUUGGAUGAUAUCUUCGGUCGAUGUAAUUCUUAACUCUAAGAGGGGCUCAUAUUAUAUUUGAAUCAUUCUUAUUAUUGUUCUUAUUUUAGAUCCAUGAUUAUUUAAAUGUUCUUGUAUGAUUUUAUUUGUUUAGUUGUUCUGUGACGUUAUCCAUGAGAAAUACAUAGCACUUUGCGUAGGUAAAAGGUUAAAAUAUGGGCGUGAAUUAAAUUUUCUUUUAUUUAGUUUCCUUUUAUUCACUUUAUUUGAUUAUAUUGUUCAUCGCAGCUUGCUUUAGGCGCGACUUAAUCUAUCAUCGUGAUUGUGUACUCGUUCGCAUGACAUGAUUUUGAUCCUAAUAACAAAAUCGAAGUAUGCGUUCACGCAACUUCAGCCAAAUUUUCUUAAUAUUAAUAAAACGUGAUUAAUUGUGAACAUGUACGCGUGACAUGAUUCUUGACGCGCCAAAUGAAAUGUACACGUACACGUGACUCUUUUUUUUUUAAGAUGAUUCAAUAAUUAAGAGUUCUUGAGCAAAUAAAAGCGGUAAAAAGGUAAAUGCACAUAGGUCUUAAAAUAAGUAAUUAGACAACUUAAGCCAGGUAAUAAUCACUAAGCGACCGUGCUAGAACCACGGAACCCGGGAAUGCCUAACACCUUCUCCCGGGUUAACAGAAUACCUUAUCUAGAACCGGUGACUUGGGACAUCAAAUAAACUAUUUUAAGUGGAGACUCUGAUAAAUUAAAUAAUUCCAUUUCGUAAUAAUUGUCACUUUAAUUGGAAAAAAGGAGGUGUGAUAUUGAGCACAAAUUUCAACGUUAUUUUUGUGAAAAAGAGUAAAGCAGCACAUUAGUUCCUUUGGGUUUGUGUGAAUUUUUAGAGACUUGGGGGAGGGGGAGAGGUGUGGAGAGUAGCUUAAAAAAAUAUUUUCCUAAAAAAAUAUUUUUCACUCACCAACCAAACAAAGAAAAACAAGUGAUAAAACCAUUCAUUUUUCAUGAAAAUAUUUUCCAUGGAAAAUAUUUUUCUUCAUACCAAACACACCCUUAAAGAGUGUAAAUGCUCCAUUGUACUCAUGAAGGAUAAACUGCAUUCUAAAUUAUAUUAUCUUUACGCCAGUGUAAUUGAAGGGGGAGCUGCUAUAGCUUAUAGAAAAAGUAUUUUGAUUCAGUUUCAGUUGUGGCACUUGCAACUUGGUCAUACGAGUAACAAGAGAUUGUACUUGUUGAACAAGUAGAAUUUGUUGUCAGUACAAAAAUCAAAUUUUGAAUUUUUGUGAGCAUUGUGUGUUUGGUAAAUAGACAAUAAUAAAAUUCAGUAAGAAGGAAGGGCACAAGACCAAAGACAAGUUAGAUUAUAUACAUUCAUAUUUGUGGGGUCCAAACAGAGUUUUCUUGAAGAGUGGUGCAAGGCAUUUUAUGACAUUGAUUGAUGAUUACUCAAGGAUGAUUUUCUGAAAAUAAAAGAUAAGCAUUUUCGAUAUUUGUUAAAUGGAAGACGAUGUUGAGAGGUAGAUAGAAAGAAAAGUUAAGCGUCUUCGGACUGACAAUGGGUUGAAAUUUUACACUUUUGUGUUAAAUAAUUUCUACAGCAGAGAGGGCAUGGUGAGACAUCGCACUUUCGUUGGAACACCUUGUUACAUCCCGUAUUUUAAUAUUAGGAUAAGUCGUAGUAAUUUAUAUGAGUUCUAAGGGAUUAUGUCUAUUAGAAGGUUAUAUAGGGUUUAAGACAUUAUUAUUAUGAGACCCUGUAAAUUUACAACCUUAAUAUCGUUAGAUAUUAUGUUAGUGUAGUAUUUUCUUUUAAGUGGAGUAUUUUAGUAAAAGUUUUAUUAGUAUAAUUUUGGAUAGUUACCAUUAUUACUAUUUUCGUAUAUGAUAAAUUAUACACAUAAUAUAAAAAAGUUUAUGAGAUUUUUGUUAUUGUAAAGAUAGAAAUUAUUUUCUCACAAGAAAAGAAGGUUUUUCUUUUUACCGUUUUAAGAAUUAAGCGUACGAUAAUUUUUACUCUUUAUAUGAGAUUAGAAAAAUUAUAAGUUGAAAAAAUAUAUGUAUUUUUACAUUGAUGUUUUAAUAUAAAAAUAUAUGUAUGUAUUUAUUUUAUGUGGUACCAUAUGAUCAUGAUAGUAGGAUGUAUAAAAUAUCUUAAAAAUAAAUAAAAUUUUAAGUAAUUUGAAAUAAUUUUUAAUUAUAUUGGUAAAUUAUUAGAUAACGAAAUAUUACCUAAUUAAUUAAUUAGUUAUGGGAUAAGAUUAAAACCCCUCCCCACCCCCACGUGGCAGCAAGUAGAGUUAGAGUUAAGUGACUCUUGCCUUUGCACAAGGUAAUUAGUAGGCACUUGGAUAACAUACCUUAGGCCAUUUACACGUAAGAAGUGUAAUUACAUUAGUCAUCCGUAACUUUGCCUUUAUAUCAAGGGUUCUUUUGUUGUUUUUGUUGGCAAACAAUGGUUCUUUAAAUAUCAUAAAUUCAUAAUUGGUAGUGCUAAGUAGACUACCUACUUAAUGCUCCUGUUUUACAAGGUUGUUGUAGCUGGUAUGAAUUCAACAACUUCGGGUUAUUAAUUGCUUGUGCAAGUACUAGUAAAGUGAAAAAUUUAGUGGUUGAGAGCACCGAGGCAGACAAAGCUCAGUGAAAGAGUGUAAGACAAGUAAGCUAGAAACUUUCCAAGUUCUUAGUGAAUGAAAAUGAUAAAUUAUGGUUGGGAAGGAAGUGUAAAGUUCUAGCUAGGGUAUAGGCAUUUCAUAACUCCUCUUCCCGAUAGGGAAAGUGAAGUAUCCGUCAAAGUGGGGUUGGGUGAGUUCUUCUUAACAAUUUUAAUGGUUUUUGGAUGAACAAAAUUUUGUUGCGAGGACAUAAGCUGGACAUUCUAAAGGGAGGAAAUACAGAACAGAAAGAAAAAAAAAAUCUUUGUCAAAAGAACCGGCCCAAGUAUGUUAAGACUAUCCCAAAUAUGAUAAACUUAUUUUAAAGUGGCAUGUCAUAUUUCCAACAUAAAAUAUAAAAUUCACGUGAUAUUCAUUUUUUGGUUAUUUAGUCAAAAGUUGAAUGACUUUUAUGUGAUAAAAAAUGGAGAAGUGACUUUUUAUUAUAAACUUAAACUUAAAUCUUUUUUAUGUAACGAAAAUUUAAAAUAUGACUUAUGUAUUACAAACUCAAAGUUGAAUGAAAACCGAUAAAAUUUACCCUCAUUCACAAGAGUAUAAGUUUAUAAAUAGUGCACUAUCGUCACGGCUUCUAAUUAUUGAAAAAAUAUAUGCAUGUAUACUGAAACUUAUUUUCUAUGACCAAACUUGUAAUUAGUUAGCAAAGAAACCAUAUUCUUACAAAGCCACGACAAGAACGUUGGCAAAAAUUGCAUAGGUGCAUUCAAAUCCUUGAAGGCUGGUAGAUAUGAUAUAAAAUUUUCAUUCUCAUUUCUUUUGCUUUAUCUAUUGAUUUUGGAAACGAUUGAAUGUCAUUUUUAAAGAGUCAAUAGUCAGUGAUCACCUAAAGAAAAACAGCGCCAUCUAUUUAUUCUCUGUUUGACUAUAAACCUUAGGUCAAAAUAGAAAUAAUGGAUUGAGUAUAUUUCUUCCUUAGUUUUCUGUAAUGCCAAUUGGUAACAAUGGUUAUUUUAUUUAUGAAGUUAACCAAUUGCAAUACGGAUUCGAUGUUUCAUUCGCUCUAAUGACAUUCCGAAAUUUUUUAUUAACGUACUUCUCAUGUAUUGCAUUCGUUUACAUGUGCAUUUACCCAUGACACAUACGAUGUUAUAUACGCGUAUAUAUGUAUAUAUAUGCAUAUGGGAUAUGGGAAAAGGUUACAGCGUUAUAUAUGCAUCACCACCUGAUCAGCUGGUAUACUGUAACGAUCCGACUGGUCGUUUUACUUUUUAGAACCCCGUUGCCUUAAAUAAAACAUCCCGCACUUGCUUUAACUAAUUUACGACCUGCGGGGAUGGUUGGUUCCGGAUUUGGAAGAGUUUGGGUUGAAAAAUACUCAUUUGACCCCUUAAGAUUUUCUUAAAAGGUUGAGUUUGCCUUUGGUCAACAUUUUUAGCAAACAGACCCGGAUUCGUAUUUUGACGGUCACGGAGGGUUCGUAGAAAAAUAGGGGACAUGGGAGUAUGCCCGGAAUCGAAUUCCGAGGUCCCUAGCCCGAGUAAUGAAUUUUUAUUAGAAAUUGUUAAACUGAAAUUCUAAGGAUUUAAAGAAGAUGAUUAAUGAUUGAUCACGUUGGUAUCGGGCUCGUAUGUUGGUUCCGGAGCCCAGUACAGGUCCAAUAUAACAUUUAAGACUUGCCCGCCAAAUUUGGUGUCAAUCCGAGUAGUAUAAGUACGUUUCGGCACGUUAUAAGUGAUUCAUAAGUUUGAUUCCAUUUGUUUUAGGAGGUGAUUCGUAGAUUUAGCGUUGUUUCGGGUGUUCCGAAGGUUCGAGAGGGUCCGUUUCAUGAUUUAAGACUUGUCGGUAUGUUCGGGCGAGGCCUGCCCCGAGCGUCAAUCGGACGAGGCUCGAGUGAAGUUGGAAAAGUUGAAAAAGGCUGAAGCAUCUAGUAUAUGUCAUAACCGCACAUGCGGUUGGACGACCGCAGGUGCGAGACCGCACAAGCGGUAGCCCUAUCGCAGAUGCGGCCAAGGCAGGCCAGGCCAAAAAUCGCAGAAGCGUCUCCCAAGCCAUAGAAGCGGCUCCGCAGAAGUGGCUUCAAGACCGCAGAAGCGGUCCCAGCCCGUUUGGCAUAUUCCGCAGAUGCGGUCUCUUCCUUACAGAAGCGGGACUGCAGAUGCAGUCCUCUGACCGUAGAUGCGGAAAUCGUUGAAGUAGUGAGCUUCAUUUAAUACGGGUUCUAAGUCAUUUUUACCACUUUUCAAUCCUCUAUUGGCGAUUUUGGGAGCUUUUGAGAGAAGACUUCCACCUAGCAUCUUGAGGUAAGUUAUCACACCUAUUCCUAGUCUAAUACUUGUGUCUUAGGUAGAUUAAACACUAGGAUUAAGUUAAAAUUAUGGGGUUAGAGCAAAACCUAGGGUUUUAACAAAAGUUAGAUUUAACCACGAAAUUUGUUAUGAAAUGAAUUAGAAAUCGUAUAUUAUUGGCCUUUAUAUUAUAGAGAAUAACUUUUUCAAAAAACUUCAGAAUUCGGGCACGUGGGCCCGGGGUCGAAUUUUAGAAAACUUGUGUUUAAGGGUGGGAAAUUGCUUAAAUAGUUAGAAUGAGAUCUUGUGGGCUUGUAUUGACUAGUUCCUACCUCGUUUAUUUAGUUUGGGAUCGUUCGGCUCCAACGGGCUCGUUCUUGGCAUUGGAAGUGCACUUUGGAGCGAGGUGAAUCUCCUAUCUAACCUUGUAAGAGGGAAUUGUCCCCAUAUGUGGUGUAAUCUAAUAAUUUUCCAUUAAAUGUGGGGCUACGUACGCACUAGGUUACGAGAGUUCGUACGUAGCUACUAUUAUGCUAAGUCCGUGUAGUUUAGGGCCCAGAAGCAUGCUUUAUGUAGUAUUCUUGCAACCCUAUAUUUAAUUUGGAUGGCUUAAAUCAUGGUGAUUAUGAUAAAUGAGACUAGUUAAGAGGAACAUGAUCUUUCUUGGCCUUUUUAAAGAGAAGUUGAUAACUCAGUGAGUAAUUUCUCCCCAGUCAUGGGUUCUUGUCUUCUUGUUGCUGUGUUUAAUUACAUCGAUCGCGUCACAUGGUUGAUUCGCGAGCGGGGAAAUAGAUGCAUCUAUGAUUCGUGUCGUUCGACCCUCGGCAGUGCACAAUUUACUUUUAUGUUGGAUAGGGUCGUACGAUCUCAGCACUACUUGCGCAUGCUUUACUCAGUAUUAUUCUAUGAAUUGAGUUUAUUAGUUGUCCUGAAUGGGAGUUGCCAGCUGUGACAUUAUCUAGGAGAGGACUUGUUAGUUCUUUCUAUACACUGCUAAUUAUUUGUUUUAUCCAUGCUCAGUAUAAUUCAUCUCUCAUAUCAUUUGACCCUAGUAAGUGUCAAGUCGACUUCUCGUCUGUACUUCUUUGAGAUUAGACAGGAUACUUAUUGGGUACAUAUUGUUUAUGUACUCAUACUACACUUCUGUACUUAAUUGUACAGGAGUUGAGGCAGGUUCAUCUGGCUGUCAGACCGAUGCGCGUCCCUGAUCCUAGUUCGAGACUUUCACUGUGAGCUACUUCCCUUCCUGUGCCGAUCAACAGCUGGAUGGAGUCUUCUUUACUUUUGAUUGUCUAUUCUGUUCCAGAUAGUAGGAUAAAUGUAUUAUUUUAUAUAUUCUACUAGUUGCCCACAGCUUGUGACACCAGGUCUUGGCACACACAUUAGUAGACGUUUCUUUUGGAUUGUAUGAUUAUAAUUGAAUGUUGCAUAUUAUCAGCAGCUUUUAAAUUGCAGAUUAAGAAAAAUGUUGUAACUGUUUUG